ensembl:lncRNA novel transcript, antisense to DNAH12
AGAACUGUGGCCUUCAGUGUCCUUGGAAUCCUAAGGGAAGAAUUCACUCUACACAAGAUAAAAUUUUGAUCAAAAUUCUGUUUUGUUGAAAUAUUUUUAAAUUGUUAAUAUACACUAAAAAAAGCAAAGGGACCACUUGACAUUUCAAAUUAAAUAUGAAGCAAAUGCCGAGAAGCACACUGUCACUGCAGGUGUAGAAGUUCGGACUGCCCUCAAGCCAUCCUACUGCCUUUGCAGGCCAACUUCGCAGCUUUGAGUUUCCUUUCCUAGUCACAAGGAUGCAGUGAGAAAUGGAACCGAUGUCUUAGAGGCAUCCUGCAUUCUAAUCUGGACUGGACUAAAGGGACUGGACUAUUUGCUGGUCUCUUUGUGCUGGGUGGACAUUUGUUGUUUUCCUGCCUAUCUUGAAGUGAUACCAUCCUUCUCAGUCCAAGCUUCUCAGUCCAGGCACCUCUGGUGGUAGAACUCCACCUAGCCAUGCAGGGUAGGCUGGUGACUCACACCUGGCCAGUCAUACUUCCAGCCUGAGUGACUGAUUCAGAAAUGGACAUGUGACCCAAUCAAAGCCAGAGAUGCAGAAACUCUUGCUGGGACUUUCGGAGAAAAGACUCACUCUCAACUCCUCAAAGUUGGGUGGAUGUGAGGCCAGAGUUGCUGUUGCUAUCUUGCUACCAUCAGAUGACAGCCUGAGAAUGGAGUUUACCCAAAGGGAAUGGAGACAACAGAUGAAGUGCAAGAAGCCAGGACAAGAUAUCCAUGUUUGCACCCUGGUCAAAUGUUACCUGAAGCCACUUUAGCUCCUGGAGUUUGCAGUUACAUGAGGGAACAAACUUCAUUUUUGCUUAUGUCAGAAUUUUUGUUACUUAUAAUGGAAUCAAUCCAAAGUGGUACAGUGCUUUUUAUCCCAUAAGCUACAUAGUGAUCUCUUUUUCCUUUCUUUGCAGUAUCUAAACCAUUCAUUCUUUAAAUCCCACUUAAAUGCUACCUCAUCCAUGAAACAAUCUCUGCUUUCUUGUGCCAUAAGAACUCUCUCCCUUCUUUGAAAUCCCAGAGCAUUUUACAUGUUGGUCUCUUAUGGAACAUCCCUUACUAUAGUGUACUAAUUUUCUUUAGAUACAUGGCUUGUCCCCUGUAAGCUCUUGGCAGCUUCAGGGCAGGACUUUUGUUGUGAUUAUCUUUUUAUCACAGGACACACAAGGUGCUUUGAAUAAAAUGAGGUCUCAAUUCAUAUUUAUGGAAUGAACAGAUGAAUCAAUGAAAUGGACUUUGUCUCUGAGCAGGCAAUACACUCUGGGAAGAAGCCAGUUUUGCUCCAUAGGAGGAAGAGAACAAACUGCUGCUGGAGAUGCUGCAACAGUACAAGCUGUCAGGUCAAGAAGAGGCAGAGAAAGAGAUGAAGUCUGACAAGGGUAAAACCAGGGAGAGCGAGCACCAAGCACAAGAAAGCUGUAAAGACCCACAAGGCAAACAUUUAGAAAACCCACUCGCCCGUGGCUUCCUUUAUCCCAGAGUGUCAUUAGUGUCUGUGGUCAGCUACUUGUACUACCUCUGAAUUAGCUACCAUUUACUAAGUGCUUAGUACAUGCCAGGCACUGUGCUAAACAUUUCAUAUGCAUUGCCUCAUUUACUCUAUAAAAUAACAGUGAGUUGAAUAUUAUUUCUGUCAUUUUACAGAUGAAGAAACUGGGGUACAGAAAGAUGAGUAACUUGCUAAAAGUCACAAAGAUAGUUAAGUGUUAGAUCAGGAUUUAUGCUGGGAUUUUAGGCAGUGUGCAAAAAGUUUUUUUUUUAAAAAAAAGGCACAGGAAGGAGAGAAUGUGAAGAUGCUAUGGACUGAAUGUUUGUUUUCCUCCAAAAUUCAUAGAUUGAAACCCUCAUCUCCAAGGUGAUGGUAUUUGGAGAUGGAGCCUUUGGGAGGUAAUUAGGUCAUAAGGGUGGAGCCCUCAUGAUAGGAUUAGCACCCUUAUAAGAAGAAACAGAAGAGACAUUUUUCUCUUUUUCUCUCAUCGUGAACCAGGAGAGCUGUCACCAGUAACCUGACCAUGAUGGCAUCUUGAUCUCAGACUUUCCAGCCUCCAGAGCUUGAGAAAUAAAUGUCUGUUCUUUAAGUUAUCUAGUCUAUUUUGCUUUUUUAUAGCAGCCUGAACUGACUAAAAAGGAGAUCGAUAGGGUGAACAGUGAGAGAGAAAUGAGGAAAGUGUAGAGUCCUGUAACAAUGAGGAAAGGGCCCCACGUGGGGGAGAACAAUUGUUCUGAAAAAUGUCUAAUUACAGACAAUCCACUAGCACAUCUUGUUUCCAAAUACCUUGCUGUGCCUGUAGCCCGAGCAGCACCACCUUGUUCUGCAUAGCCCCUCUAGUACCACCCUACAAAACUUCCCUCCAGCCCCUGGUUCUUUGCAGAUAGCCUCUUCUCUGCUGUGCUGCCCACUGCACUGUUUCAAUGUAUUUUCAUACUUUCUCUAAUAAAUCU